rnacentral:rRNA from 1 species
CACGUAGGAGGCGAGCGUUGUCCGGAAUUAUUGGGCGUAAAGAGCUCGUAGGCGGUUUGUCGCGUCGGCCGUGAAAACUUGGGGCUUAACCCCGAGCCUGCGGUCGAUACGGGCAGACUUGAGUUCGGCAGGGGAGACUGGAAUUCCUGGUGUAGCGGUGAAAUGCGCAGAUAUCAGGAGGAGCACCGGUGGCGAAGGCGGGUCUCUGGGCCGAUACUGACGCUGAGGAGCGAAAGCGUGGGGAGCGAACAGG